UACAGAGGUCUCAAGCGUUGUUCGGAUUCAUUGGGCGUAAAGGGUGUGUAGGUGGCGCGCUAAGUCGGGUGUGAAAUUUCGGAGCUUAACUCCGAAACUGCAUUCGAUACUGGCGUGCUUGAGGACUGGAGAGGAGACUGGAAUUCAUGGUGUAGCAGUGAAAUGCGUAGAGAUCGUGAGGAAGACCAGUGGCGAAGGCGGGUCUCUGGACAGUUCCUGACACUGGAG
rnacentral:rRNA from 1 species